UGGGGUUGGACAUUCAACAGAAGUUUAGUCCCUUCUUCUCUGGACCGAAGAGGUACGGAGCUGAAUCACUCGCACCUGAGCAACAUAACACCGUGCAGCAAGCACAGGCUAAUGCUCAGAGAUCACAGGGUGCAACACAGAGAACAGCUCAGCAAACACAGAAGAGAAACUCCACAUCCACAUGUGCCACAGAAAAUGGUAGACUUAUUCAAUACCUUACAUUUGUAUACUUUUGAGCUAUUGCUAGGUUGUACUUGCGGACUCACAAGGACUGUUGUUGUUUUUUUUAACCCAACUUCCGAUAUCUUUUUUUUCCCUCACUGAAAUACAGAUUCCUCACAAUCAGAUCCAGGCAAAAGACACUGUAACCACUUGUGCAAAAACAAGGAUCAAUGUGGCCACGACUGCUGUAAAAAUGGAGGGCCGGGGGUUCUGAAAAGGCAGAUGAAUCAGCAUUCGAGUUUCACCUCCUACCUCCAAGACCUGAAGACCAGGAGUGACACACUGACGGAGACCCCAGUCAAACGCCUCAAGAUGAGAAUGAAUGGUGGGAUGGGAGCUGCGAACAUGCAACAGUUCUCUUAUUCACCUAAGCCAAUCCUACCUGCUUCUUCUAGGUAUGAAAGUAACCAGUAUGGCGCUUUAGCAAGACCACAGAGUGUAGAUUCAGCUGAGGACUUUGCAACACCCAAAGAGAUGCCUUAUGUUGUGACCUAUGGCCAUGAGUAUAAUGACUACCUGGAAGACAUAUCUCAGACAACGGGAGAUUUGAAACCACCACCUGUUCAACUUCAGACCCUUAAGGAGUCACAAAGCACUUCAAUAUGGAGGAAGCCCAAUGCCUACGAUGGAAGAUCCCUCAGCCACAGCACCCCCCAAAUCACCCCGCAAAGCCAGAGCAGGAGUUACCCUCAGAGUCACAGCACCCCCCAGAGCCAGAGCAGGAGUUACCCUCAGAGCCACAGCACCCCCCAGAGCCAGAGCAGGAGUUACCCUCAGAGCCACAGCACCCCCCAGAGCCAGAGCAGGGGUUACCCUCAGAGUCACAGCACACCCCAAAGCAGGGGUUACUCCCAAAGUAUCUCUCAGAACCAGAGCAGAUGUUACCCACAGAGUCACUGCACCCCCCAAAGCAGGAGUUACCCUCAGAGCCACAGCACCGCCCAAACCCAGAGCAGGGGUAACAGUACCCCCCAAAACCAGAGCAGGUCUUUUUCUCAGAGUUCCAUUGUAGACUUGACCGACGACAGUGGUUUCUUCUCAUCGUCAAUCACCCCCAGUGUGACAUUUGACCUGGGAGACGAGUGGGACGAUUUUGACCAUGACAACUUGGUGCACGCCAACGAGAAGCCAUGCACCACUGUUGCUAAAACUAAAGGGGUGGACCUGGACUGUGAUAGGCCAAAAGGAAACUCCACACCACUACCAUCCAUUUCCUUACUGCCCAAACCCCGCUUCACUACAUCCAAUUCCCCACUCAGGUCGACCUCCCCAGUUGUUUCUCAGAUACCAGUUACUACUCUCCCAGUCAGACCACACAACUCCCAGGCUACUGCUAGCUGGAGCCACUCUGACAACAAGGCCACAAGGACAUUCAGUGAACCCCCCAUGAAAGCACCACCCUCCUUCCCAAAACAGACUGACUCUAGCUUGCCCCCCCUGGGACAACGGUUUGAUUUCUUCUCAAAGACGACUACCCCAAAAAAUGACACUGUGACUGGCAAAAGGUAAGGAGGGACUAUAGAGAAAUAAUAUUACAUUUUCUUAACUUUUUUAAUACAUACUAAUUUAAAUCAUGAUUAUGAAUUAACUUUAUAUCAUUGACAGACAGCAUUAAUCUUCAUUGCAGGCUCCAGGGAGAGGAUUACAGCAAGGAAGUGGAGGCAUUCAUGGGGAUAUUUGAUGGACUAUUUUAGUAGUGUUUGUAGUUGUAUGCACUAUUUCCAUGAUAAUGUUUCAUGGUGAUUUGUCAUGUUAUUGUGUAAUGUAAUUUUGUUAUACUGUUAUUUAUACUGUUUGUUGUUUGGGAUUCACUGUUAGAUUUACUGUUGGUCCUAUUUGAAAAUGUUUAUCUAGGAGUAUGAACUUUCAAUCUUCUUUAGCAGGAUUCCAAAAAUGUUAUAUUUUGUGUACUUUAUUAAAUGAACACUAUUUAUUCAGAGGAAGUCUGAGGGUGUAGAGAGCAAUAGUAAUGGUGUCAUGGACCAUAUAAUGGUGUUUUAUUCCCUUUAGUGGACUGUCUUUAAAUUGCAGCUUGUAGCUGCACUUCCUGUGCUCACAAGGGGAGAAGACAGUAGGGGAUGUAACUCUGAGCUGGAUGUAACAUGCAGUAUAGCAUCCAGCUCAGUUACAUCCAGCUUUAGUUACAUCCAGUAUUUUUAUUUAUUUAUUUAAUUUAUUUCACCUUUAUUUAACCAGGUAGGCUAGUUGAGAACACCUUUAUUUAACCAGGUAGGCUAGUUGAGAACACCUUUAUUUAACCAGGUAGGCUAGUUGAGAACAAGUUCUCAUUUGCAACUGCGACCUGGCCAAGAUAAAGCAUAGCAGUGUGAGCAGACAACACAGAGUUACACAUGGAGUAAACAAUUAACAAGUCAAUAACACAGUAGAAAACAAAGGGGGAGUCUAUAUACAAUGUGUGCAAAAGGCAUGAGGUAGGCGAAUAAUUACAAUUUUGCAGAUUAACACUGGAGUGAUAAAUGAUCAGAUGGUCAUGUACAGGUAGAGAUAUUGGUGUGCAAAAGAGCAGAAAAGUAAAUAAAUAAAAACAGUAUGGGGAUGAGGUAGGUGAAAAUGGGUGUGCUAUUUACCAAUAGACUAUGUACAGCUGCAGCGAUCGGUUAGCUGCUCAGAUAGCUGAUGUUUGAAGUUUGUGAGGGAGAUAAAAGUCUCCAACUUCAGCGAUUUUUGCAAUUCGUUCCAGUCACAGGCAGCAGAGUACUGGAACGAAAGGCGGCCAAAUGAGGUGUUGGCUUUAGG
ensembl:lncRNA